rnacentral:lncRNA from 1 species
CCCAAAGACAACAUUUCCUCCCAGGCCUCACAUCCUGGCCCCAGGAGAUAUAACUACAGUCCCCUUUGCCAGGGAGCAAGGCCAGACUGGGGCUGGGGAAGCUAUGCGGGUGCAGAAGGGACAUGUGGCUUGAGGGGGUAGAGGAGGGACAAGUACAGAGUCGUGGGAUCUGUUCCUUGCCCUCUAGGAGGAGAUGGUAUGGUUUUCAUGCAUUCCAGCUUGUGCACAGUGGUUUCUUUCAUUUUCUUGAGAUCUUUGGAAAUGGUCCUAAAGGGGAAAAAAAUGAACUCAGGAAGCAAGACUGAAAAUGUGUGCAAUUGUAUGAUUUAAAAGAUUUAAAAAAAAACCAAAAACCUCCACGGUACUUUUGAUUAUCACAAGACCAGAAAAUAUAGUGCUUUCCUGAGAAUGUUUUGGUAAUACGACUUUAAAACAAGCAACAUUAAGUAGAAGGUGAGAAUUCAAGUGUUUUAGGUGCUAAUGGCUGAACCACAUCAGCUCUGUGAUCCAUUGCAUGUGACUGUUAUUAUUAUUCAUUUGUAGCUGUCUGGGUGUCAGCAUAGAUAAAACUUUUGUUACUAUUUCAUUUUAUGUCAGAAUUUGAAAUACAGAACAUGGAACUCAAAUGGCUUUGAUGGGUUAUAACUAAGUUGGAUUGGCUGAAGAGCAUCACCUGCUUGAAUGUGAGUCCUCUGACUGCAGAUUGCCACUUUGGAUCUCUCUUCUUACUUUCUGAAGAGGCUUACUGAAAGGUAAUAUCUGAUCUAUCCCCAGGCAUAAGCAUCUGUCUUCCUUUAGGCCUCUCUGUAUCCAGAGUAGGUUCUGAGAGUUUAGAGCAAGCACCCAGACCCAAAGAGCUAUCCAAAGUGUUUUAUGUGCAGAGAGAGGGAAAUGUGAAAGCUCAAAUACCCUUAGUCCCCUUCCACCCAGGCUGAAGAAACGUCAGAACUGAGACAUGAAUGCCCGAGGAAUGUUCUAUUUAAACACCAACACUGAAACUCAGAUCAACUACAUAUCUGCUGAUUUUAAUAUUUAGCUGGGUUUCCUUCCAUUCCACUUCAAGUUCACAAGUUUAGAGCCCUCUUCCAGUUAUGAUCACUCAUUGCAUUGUUUGACUUUUGAACAUAUAUUUUAGAAAUUACUGAUUCAGAGUAUUUUAAAAAUUCCGUUCUAUACAACUCUGCUACAAUGGCAUUCUAGAAAACUUUGCUUGAGGUUAAAAUUUGAAGGUAUCUUAUUUGGUGGGAAAGCAUUUAAUAUUUGAUACUUUCUAUGAAUUUUUCAAGUAAGCAUGCCCAGGCUAAAACCAAAUAGUUACAAGUUGGGAAACGUGUUUCUUGGAAAUAUAGUACUGACCAGUUUAACCUUCUCUUUAGAAGGAUACUGAGGCCAGUGCAUCACCUCAUGAACUUAAAGCAUUUGUUUUCAGUUUAUCAUGGUUAGCUUUUGAAUGUAAUAUGAUACUAACUUGGACUUAUUGGUAAACAUUCAAUUUUGAAGAAGGUAAUUUUCUUUUGUUUUUACUUUCAGAAUCACUGAAUUCAUUAUUUUUAAGAUAUAUUUAUAUUCAUUAUACUUAAGUAAAACUUUGAUUGUUUCAGAAAUUUACCAUUCCAAUUUUCACAUUCCAGAUCUGGUUUCUAGGAAGACAGUAGUGUGAACCUAAUUAUGCCCUUUUGCCUCUGCCUGGCCCACUGCUUCCUUCCUCUUCCUAGGACCACUGGGUCUUUAGUUCCACCAUCCUCCGGGCUCUUGAAUAUAUAGCAUCAUUUGGCAGCUUUCAUACAUGAAGAGCUGAGGUUAUUUUAUUUUAUUUUAGCAGAGAAAAACAAAUAGCGGAAGAUGUGCAAACAGCAGCCCCAGUGAGGAGGAGAAGGAAAGAGAGAAGGUAAGGGCUGCAUCUAUGGAAUUUCUCAUGAGAUGAUGAGACAUGAGCUACUGGAAAAUUUUCUGUGCUUUUCUGUGUCUGUGUCUCUUCUAGCCCAUGCUUCUGCAGAGGGCACACAGUAACACAAGUUUUCAGUGCCAGUGAAUGUAUAAAAUAGAGAACACUCUGAGCAUGUCUCCUCACAAAAAAAGUGGCUGGACUUGUUUUUCCCUCCUUUAUAGUAUACCCUCCCUGUGCCCAGCUCAAACAGGAACAAACUUCAUGAGUUAUCCUGUAAAUCCCAAGAUUGAGAAAGUCCCUCAAUAUUUUCUUUUGAAGAUCUCCAAUAUGAGAAGCAAUAAGGUAGUCGGGAAAUGGGUUGGGUACUGGAAAAACCGGAGUCCUAGUUAGUGUUCUCUUAAUAGAGUUUGGGCAAAAAUUUACCUGUCUCUGUUUUCUUAUUUGUAAAACAGGCAAACUAGAUGUAUAUCUAAGUAAGUAUUUUCUCUUGGUCCCCAGCUUCUAAUAGUGACCUGGAUCAUAAGUAAUUAAAGAAAACAAACAAGACAGUGCUGUAGAAAACCGGACAGUGAAGAACAUAAUCUCAGUUAAGGUAUUAUUGGUACCACAUCUAGAAAGGCCAGUGAAUCUGAUGUGUCUUCAUGAACAAGCAUUUCCCCUGCUCUAUAUUUAGAGCUGUGUCAUGGAAUUGGAAUGAAUACGCCUUGGAGUUUUCUUAGCUCUACUUGGGGACACAUAGUUUUGUAAACUUACUGUUAUAAACCAAUUUUCCUGGAAGGGACUUCAGCAUGUGGAUGACCCCGUGGGUAUUCAGUUAUUGGCUGGUGUCUUUCCUCUGAAUCAGAGCUAAAAAAUAUAUUUUAAAUAAACACUUGUUUUCUGGCUUGUUGAAGGUCUUACAUUUUUUAAAAAAAAUAUUUCUCUUUGCAUAAUAUGAAACCUGUAUAUUAGGUCAAAUUUGGGUACUUUGAUCUAUUUGCAUGUAUACCAAUGUAGUCUGUAGACACACACGUGACUCUCGUUGGUUUACUGGGAAUUGUAUUGAGCUGGCAAUGCCUUUCUGUGUCCCUCACUCAUUUGCUUCCAAAGAUAGAAUACUGCUGCAGAUUAAAGGAUAAGACUAUUUUUGAUCUCAACACCAAAGAACUCUCUCUGUGCAAAGAAACCAAGUAGACCCAAGGCCAUAGUUGUAUAAUCAUAAAAAAGAGUGGCUGAAUUGUUUUUGUCCCUCUCCUCACUAAUGUGGGCACCAAGAUACUUUGCUGAAGGCCUUUGAUUACUUAUGUACCUUGAUGCCAACUUUACAAGGACAAGGACCAGUUGAAUUAGGGAGUUAGUUGUUUCUAGUUCUCUAAGUAGAGAUUCAGCCUCACAUGAUAAUAACUCGCAAAAAAGUUCAAUUUGACAACCUGUAAAUCUUAAAUUUAGUUUAUCUCAAAUUCAUGUCCUGGUCCCAUUUAGGAAAAAUGGGCUUGUUUUCUCUUUUCUUUUCUCAUUUGAAUUGUUCUUUUCUGUCCAAACCCAAAACCUUAACUCCACCUCUGAAUAUUAUUUUUUUCUUUUAGAUGUUAGCAGUAAUCUAAACAGGCUGUAAUUUUUUUCUCUUAUAGUCUGAUUUUUAUCUUAUAUCUGUUACACCAAUUAGUAGAGGUUCUCAGAUUUUCAUACCUAAACAGGGGAGUAACCCUCCAAAUGAGUUCCCUUUUCCACUAUACCUAACAUACACACACACACACACACACACUUUUUGUAUAGACCUAAUACUACUAUUCUUUGAUACAGGACUCUUUUCUAGUUACUCUUCAAUGACUAAUGCCUUAACCUCAUUUAAAAAAAUAUUUUCUAGCUGCAGAUGGACACAAUACCUGUAUUUAUUUAUUCAUUUUUAUGUGGUGCGGAGGAUUGAACCCAGUGCCUCACACAUGUGAGGCAGGCACUCUACCACUGAGCUACAGCCCCAGCCCCCUUAACCUUAUUUUUUCACCCAGAAUGAGACUCUGAUACAUUUCAACUCACUUUCAUCAGCAUGUUUAUUUUGAGACCAUGAAGAAACCAAUAAACACUUUUCCCUUGGAUACUAAUUUAACCUUUGGCAGUUACUGUAUGCUUCAUCAUUCCUAUUUGAGAAAGUAUAAAACAUUCAGAGAAGUCUUCUAGGAGUUAUUAGAAUUAUUAAAAUGAUCAUAUGAGGAUGAUAAAGCUGCUCAAGAAGUUGAGUAUGGAGGUAGAUAAUAAUAAUAGUAGUAAUAGCAGUAAUAUUGGUGUAGUUAUCAAUGAUUGUCACUAUGUGCCAGAAAAUAUUCUGUACUUUUUUUUUUCAUUGACUUAAUUCUACAGCAACACUCUGAGGUUGGUCCUUGGUAUCUCACAGAUGUGAAAACAGAGGUUUUGACAGGCUCAGUACAAAGAGGUGCAUGCUUUAAUAAAGUCCCAAAGGAUUGCAAAAUCCCAGCAGCAGAGAUAAGCUAUCCAGCUGGAAGAAAGUUGUAAAAAGAAGUCAUAAAAUAGAGGAAAAUGACUGGGGAUUUUUCAUUUAAUUAAUUAAAAAUGUGACAUUGUUCAGUCUUAUAUAACUAUAGUUCUAUGAGUUCAUGAUUGUGUUUUUAACUGGGUGAUCAGCUCCUUGAGGAUCAAUAUUAAUUCUUUUUGUCUCCUGUAUAAGGGCUAACCUAGUGCUUUUCACAAAGUGGAAAUACUUUACUUAAAAAAUACUUUUUCUUGUUUCGAGCAGUGAGAUCCUGUGUUUCAGCUUUUGUGGUUGCUACUGUUCUAGAUACAUAUCUGAAGGUAGUCUGCUUAUAUGGAAAUAGGUUAGUAUACACUAACUGUAUAUAUAAUAUAUUUAUUUCUGUUUAAGAAUGUUUAAACAAUCUUAAAAAUGGGAUGGGAGGAAUCUUUGGAAAAUAAAAAAAAGAAUAGGUUAAGACUCUCCUCCCCAUGGACAAAAUAGGUUAGUAUAUACAUUUAUAUGCUAAUAUAAAUGUAAAUUAUGAUAUAUACCAAUAUAAAAUAAAUUAUGAUAUUUUCUGUUUUUAGUUUAUCAUGAAAUAUUUUUGGACCUGUCAUUCUCUGUUUAUUCCAAUCAUAAUUAUUUGCUAAGCAGUGUUUGGUUUACAAUUGAAAGGAUUAGAGCUGGUAUAGGUAAGGUGAUGUGAGUUGCCAAAGAUUUUCACAGAAUCAUGGUUCUCUGGAGUUCCUCAUUUUGGUAAGUGUGUCUUUGUUAGAGUUUCAGUGACUUUCAUUGGAAGGAUUAAGUAGGAUUAAAUAAAAAAAACAAAGUGAUUAUAACAGUCCAAUACAUCAUAGUGCUAUGUAAGUCUUAAAAGUCAUUGUUGUCAUCUUCACCAUCAUCACCAUCAACAUCAUCUUCACUCAUGUCCUUCCAUUUCUAGUUGUCAGUAAACAUCACUGUUGAAAAUGGUUCCUAAACUAACAUCAAUGUUGCACUUGGUGGUGUGGCCUUAGUAGAGGAUUUACAACCUUAGAUUUCAUACACUUAGUGGAUACACUUCAUUAAUGUACUACUGGUACCAUUGUUUCUCAUGCAUCUUAUGUAACAUUUUUGAGGGGCAGUAUAGUGUCCUCUUCUUGAAGAAAGUAUGUGAUACUCCCUGCACAAACCUCCUUUUACCUCCAACUCGAUCUUAUACUAUUCAAUAUCCUUGAUUCAAAACUGGAUUCUAUUUACAUGCCAUUUAAUAAAUUCAACUAUUUUUUUAAGUUCAUAUUAAAGUUAGUGAAAAUUAAUAGUCCUGAAACAUUAGAACUAAAAUUAAAUUUGUGGAUGAUAAGCAACAAUUUUUUACAAAUUAUUUUAUUCUUUAAUUUAAAUACACCUAACAAUUAUUUUUUUAAAAAAGAAAGAAGUUAUUUGUUAUUUAAAUAAAAAAAACAAAGUUUAGGUGAAACAUUUUGUUAGUUAUCCAUCUCUUCUUUCCGAGUCAAAUGACACAUAUUUGAACAGGGAUAAAUGUUCACUUGAAUUACAACCAUUUAAACAGAUUUAUCAAGAAAGCUGCAUGUGCAGAAAUAUUUACUUGACUUUAUUUUUAUGAAUUCCUAAUAUAGCCUUGAGCGCAGACACUUCUCAACACAUGAUUCUUUUAAUUCAAGUUUUCUGUAAUUCAUAUUUUUCUAGUAAAAGUUAUUGACUAUAAUAAUAAGAAUUUAAAAUAAAUGGAAUAUUUACAAAAUAUUUGUGUGGGUUGAUCACACAGGAAUCAUUCAUUUUUAAUAUUUGAUCAAUCCCAAUAUUACUGAGCAUAUACCCUGAAUUUAAAUGUUAUACUCACACAGCUAAGUUUAAGAAAGGGGAGGGUGGUUUAGGAUAUAACUCAAUGGUAGAGUACUUGCCUAGCAUGCGUGAAACUCUCUGUUUGAUCCCCAAUACUUAAAGAAAAAAUGAAGUGACAGUUAACAUAUUUUCUUUUUUUUUUAUUUUCCAAAGAUUCCUCCCAUCCCAUUUUUAAGAUAGUUUAAACAUUCUUAAACAGAUCUCUGAAUAUUCAAAGAAAUACAAUGAAAAUAUUGGGGAGUGUUCUAGUUAGUUAGUUUUUGUUGUUGUUGUUGUUUGCUGCUGUGACCAAAAGACAUGACAAGAACAAUUUUAGAAGAGGAAAUGUUUAUUUGGGGGCUCACAGUUUCAGAGGUUUGUUUUUUUUUUUUUUUCCAUAGAUGACCAACUCCAUUGCCCUGGGCCAGAUAUGAGGAAGAACAUCGUGAUAGAAGGGCAUGACAGAGGAAAGCACCUCAGGACAUGACACCAGGAAGCAGAGUCAGAGAAAGAGAGAGAGAGAGAGAGAGAGAGACUCUCCUCCCAAUGGACAAAAUACAUACCCCAAUGACACAUCCCAAAUCACCCACCUCCUCUAGCCACACCAUAUAUGCCUACAUUUACAACCCAGUUAAUCUGUAUCAGUGGAUUAAUACAUUGAUUAGGUUAAGGCUCUUAUUUCAUCUCUAAACCCCCUUGCAGGGUCUCACACAUGAACUUUGGGUGGACACUUCAUAUCUAAACCAUAACAGGGAGGCAACAUGUUUUCCUAGUCCUUCAUUUAUUAUAAACUUUAAUUCGUAGUCAGGAAAAAGUGGAAGAAUAAUAUUUUGGAAUAAAGUUGAAAUGAUUUAAUACUUUUCAUUUUUAAAUGUAUUGUGCUUACUUCUCUCAUAUUGCUACUAAUUAAAGUGUAAGAAUCUCAGAAACAGAGAAGCAUUCCCAUAGUACUUUCUUGAACAACAGUGUCACUGAAACACAAAGGAAUGGUAAGGUAAUUUUGAUGAAAAUUUCUGAUUGUGUGCUACAUAUAGUUCUGAAAAAUGUUUAUAAUUUUAAUAAAUAAUAGUAUCAAGUUACUUCGUGGAUUAAUUGAUAUAAUAGACCCACUGGUUACUUAUAUUUUAAUUGAUACAUGAUCUAAGCAAAUCAUAAUGGAAGUCUAUAGCAAUAAGAACAGAGUUUCACAAAAAUACAUAUUCAACAACAGGUUUAAAAGUGUUCAGAGUAACUUAACAUUCAAUUUUGUUUCUCUUUCUUUCUUUCUUUCUUUUUUUUGGUUUGUUUGUUUAAACUAUAUAUUUUAUUAAUUAUUCAAGAAAUUAUAAAUAUAAAUUUUAAAAUGUGAAAGGAUGACAUGCAGAUC